rnacentral:lncRNA from 10 species
AAACUACCAUUUGGUGUCCUGCUGAGACAAGAAAAUAUUUUCACAACUCAAGACAAGUUAAAUAUCCACUUAUGGGAACAGUGCUGAAGGCCUGGACUAGGAUGGUAGCAAUGGAGACAGACUAAAGGUCAGCAUAACAGUCAACAUUAAGGGGGUUGAAUCAACAGCACAUAGUACCUGAUUGGAAAUACAGAGUAAAUUACAGUGAGAAAAAGAGAUGCAAUCAUUCCCUUGCAUAUGGUCCGUAUGAAGACGGGAUCAUUACAGGAAAGGUGAAGGAGAUACAGUCAUUAUGCUCUAUAUACACCCAUUUUUAUGGCUAGCGGCUGAAGAUGGGAUGCUUUCUUUGCUGGAAGACCUAUUACCUGUUAGGUUGCAAAAGAUGUGAUCAUCUUCCUAAACAAUAAUUUAGAGUCCCAUAACAAUUUUAAGUGUGCUGUUCAUGAAAAUUUGAAUACAUUGUAUUGGGAAUAUAAUGGAAGUGAGAUGCCUCAUGUCGUGAGAAAAUCUGACAUAAACUCCUUAAGCAUGAGAGGCCAUGUGGGUAUGGAAGCCCUGAAAGGGAGGAAAAAACAGCCAGACCCUAGCUGUUCCAGUCAUCCCAACUGAGGUGCCAGACUUGUGAUUGAGGCCAUCUUGCAUCAUCUAGGCCUAGUAGAGCUGCCAACUGACUGCAGACACAUGAGUCAAUCCAGCUAAUGCCACAUGGAGCAGAGACAAGCCGCCCAGCUGAGCCCAGUCCAGAUGACAGAAUCAUGAGCAAAUAAGGUUGUUGUUCUUUUAAGCCACUAAAUUUUCGGGUGAUUUGUUACACAGUAAUAAAUAACUGAAACAACUA